CUCGGAAAUGCUAUUUCCUGCGUUUUCAGCCAUGGAUAAUUAUCUUAAGCCCAGAUUUUCUCAGGGGGGGGGGCAACAAUUUUGCCAGGGAACACCACUGGCUAUCGUAUGUCAGAGGCUCCAAAGGCGGUAGAAUCCCUGUGAUGUUAUCCACUGUUCACCCCGUGUUCUUUUAAGCAAAUGUGCCUGCUCAAAAAUGCAAAAUCUUGCAAGCCUGUGGACACAAUACUGAAGUGAAGGCAUCAGUAGAGUUACAUGUAGAAAAUUUCUUUUUGAGCGCUCUCUUUUGCAUGAUAUUUUUUUUUCUCGAUUGUGUGCUGCAUGAUUUUUUUUUUCUUUCUCCU